GACGAACGCUGGCGGCGGGCUUAACACAUGCAAGUCGAACGGAAAGGCCCUGCUUUUGUGGGGUGCUCGAGUGGCGAACGGGUGAGUAACACGUGAGUAACCUGCCCUUGACUUUGGGAUAACUGCAGGAAACUGGGGCUAAUACCGGAUAGGAGCUCCUGCUGCAUGGUGGGGGUUGGAAAGUUUCGGCGGAUGGGGAUGGACUCGCGGCUUAUCAGCUUGUUGGUGGGGUAGUGGCUUACCAAGGGUUUGACGGGUAGCCGGCCUGAGAGGGUGACCGGGCACAAUGGGACUGAGAGACGGACCAGACGGCUACGGGAGGCAGCAGUGGGGAAUAUUGCACAAUGGGCGGAAGCCUGAUGCAGCAGCGCCGCGUGCGGGAUGAAGGCCUUCGGGGUGUAAACCGCUUUCGCCUGUGACGAAGCGGGAGUGACGGUAAUGGGUAAAGAAGCACCGGCUAACUACGUG
rnacentral:rRNA from 1 species